rnacentral:rRNA from 1 species
UACGGCUCAGUAACACGUGGAUAACCUGCCCUUGGGUCCGGCAUAACCCCGGGAAACUGGGGAUAAUUCCGGAUAACGCACAUAUGCUGGAAUGCUUUAUGCGUCAAAUGGAUUCGUCUGCCCAAGGAUGGGUCUGCGGCCUAUCAGGUAGUAGUGGGUGUAAUAUACCUACUAGCCGACGACGGGUACGGGUUGUGAGAGCAAGAGCCCGGAGAUGGAUUCUGAGACAUGAAUCCAGGCCCUACGGGGCGCAGCAGGCGCGAAAACUUUACAAUGCGGGAAACCGUGAUAAGGGGACACCGAGUGCCAGCGUCAUACGCUGGCUGUCCAGGUGUGUAAAAUACACCUGUUAGCAAGGGCCGGGCAAGACCGGUGCCAGCCGCCGCGGUAACACCGGCGGCCCGAGUGGUGAUCGUGAUUAUUGGGUCUAAAGGGUCCGUAGCCGGUUUGGUCAGUCCCCCGGGAAAUCUGAUAGCUCAACUGUUAGGCUUUCGGGGGAUACUGCCAGACUUGGAACCGGGAGAGGUAAGAGGUACUACAGGGGUAGGAGUGAAAUCUUGUAAUCCCUGUGGGACCACCUGUGGCGAAGGCGUCUUACCAGAACGGGUCCGACGGUGAGGGACGAAAGCUGGGGGCACGAACCGGAUUAGAUACCCGGGUAGUCCCAGCCGUAAACGAUGCUCGCUAGGUGUCAGGCAUGGCGCGACCGUGUCUGGUGCCGCAGGGAAGCCGUGAAGCGAGCCACCUGGGAAGUACGGCCGCAAGGCUGAAACUUAAAGGAAUUGGCGGGGGAGCACAACAACGGGUGGAGCCUGCGGUUUAAUUGGACUCAACGCCGGG